UACGUAGGGCGCGAGCGUUUGUCCGGAUUUAUUGGGCGUAAAGGGCUCGUAGGCGGUUUGUCGCGUCGGGAGUGAAAACCUUGGGCUUAACUCAGGGCUUGCUUUCGAUACGGGCAGACUAGAGGUAUGCAGGGGAGAACGGAAUUCCUGGUGUAGCGGUGAAAUGCGCAGAUAUCAGGAGGAACACCGGUGGCGAAGGCGGUUCUCUGGGCAUGAUCUGACGCUGAGGAGCGAAAGUGUGGGGAGCGAACAGG
rnacentral:rRNA from 1 species